UGUAUACGUCAUGGAAAAUUUCCUGACUUAGUUCAAGAUGGCAUCUUAAAGUCUGAAUAGGUUAUCUGUUGUUUAUACUAAGUCGUAAGUGUACAGUCGUGGGAGAUUCCCGGAUUUGGGGAAGUUCCAUUAACUUGGGGUUACCAUAGUAUAUUGUGUACUGCAAGAGUCGUAGCAUAGCCUUGAAGCUUGUUUAUGCAUUAUUGUUAUUGUAAUUCGUCUGGGACAAAAUGGCGCAAACAUAUUGUGCACUGAGGUUAUUGCUUAAAGAAACAGUUAUGAAAAACAUUCCAUUUCUAACACCUUGUCAGUUUGCAAUAUCUCUUAAAGACAAAGUACACAGUUUAAGAAAUACAACAUUUCAUUCUAAAACUUGUAAUAUUUGCAUUUGCCCAUAACACCCUCUCCAUUAAACUGUGGGCAUUGUAGCGCAUUUCUUCCUUAAAUUAGUAAACCAAAGUUCUCCAACUGUCUUUAGGUUUUUUAUGCUCCCAGCAUCUUAGAUCAUUGUUGUAACAGUAAAAUAUCCGUAGUGUGAUCUUUGCCUGUAAAGGUGGUUGAUUAAAAUGAGCAAAGCU